AUCAAUUGUUGUUGCACUAACUGAAGACUUCCACAGAAGAAUUAUCUAUUUUACUCUGUCAUUAUGAAGCUUGCAAUAUUUCUCAGCGCUGUUCUCAUAUUUUGUAUCAGUGAGGUCUUAGGUAAGUUGAAAUUACUUGUAAAUACUAUUAUACAAACGCGCACAGUCGAAACUUCGCUAUAUAUCUUUCUUAGCAUAUAAAAAUGUGUUCAGUAUAUGGCAAUUACAGACAACCGCAC